ACCACUGCACGAGGGGGAGGGGGGGGUAUGUACUACGCGGCGCCUCCCGGGCCAAACCACUGCACGAAUGGGGAAGGGAUGUACCACUGCACGGAGAGGGGUGGGAUGCACCACGCGGUGCCUGCCGGCCGGGCCAAACCACUGCACGAGGUGGGGGGCGUCUCCGCGGGUCCAACGAAGGAUCGUCUCCGACCCCAAAGUUGUAGAUUUCCGCGUUUCUUUGUGUCUCUGCCAAAGACACCCUUGCAGACGGACGGGCGUUUUGGAGGCAGCUAAUUGACACCUAAUUGGGACAGGUCGUUGAUGCGGCACAUCCCCCCGGGCAGCCGUCAGCCCUUCUUACACCCGCUCGUCUCCAAGCAAAGCCACGCUCCGACUCGGCCCGGUUCGCACUCACUCAUCGCCAACUGGCAGUGAGCGAUAUAAAGCGAAUAAAAAAGCGUCUUGUUUGCAUCGUU